AUUGAACGCUGGCGGCAGGCCUAACACAUGCAAGUCGAGCGAGCGGCGGACGGGUGAGUAAUGUAUUGGUAUCUGCCCGAUAGAGGGGGAUAACUACUGGAAACGGUGGCUAAUACCGCAUACUAUCGGAUGACCCCAUAUGGGAUGAGCUAGUAGGUGGGGUAAAGGCUCACCUACACGACGAUCACUAGCUGGUCUGAGAGGAUGAUCAGCCAAACGGGAACUGAGACACGGCCCAGACUCUUACGGGAGGCAGCAGUGGGGAAUAUUGCACAAUGGGGGCAAGCCUGAUGCAGCCAUGCCGCGUGUAUGAAGAAGGCCUUAGGGUUGUAAAGUACUUUCAGCGGGGAGGCGUUACCCGCAGAAGAAGCACCGGCUAACUCCGUGCCAGCCGCCGCGGUAAUAC
rnacentral:rRNA from 1 species